AUGGGGGUGCCAAAAGCCAGUGGGGUGAAGAGCAGCAGCAGGAAGCGAAAGAAUGAGUUGGGAAAGGAGCAGGGGAAGCCAAAGGUGCUCCCAAUGAAGAAGAAAAAGAAGGAGGAGCUGGAAUCCACAGUGAAGACUUCCACGGUAAAAGGGAAGAAGGAGAAUCCAUCAGAAGUCAAGGAAAAGCCAGUGCAGGAGAACAUCAUCAGCAGCUCCCUGAAGCAGGAGGCUGCAGAUGGGGAAGGCUGGAGCCUCUGCCAUGGUACCCAAGCCCAGCAGGGAGCUGCAUCCGGCCUGGUACGUGGAGCUGGCUGGGCUGAAGGACUGGGGGGCAUUCCUGUGCUCCUGAAAGCAGCUUUUGGGCAUCUGCAGUUACAUGAAGGGAUCAAUUAUCCUGGUUUUGGGGUUGAGUCCAUCACACUUUGGUGUUGGCCCAAACUGGCACCAGUGGGGAGCACUGGGAUGUGAGUGACUCUCACCUGCUAAGCAGGAUGUUGGGAUUGGGAAUCUCUUCCUCAGAAAUUUGGGUUUUUUUCACUGCUUUCCUUGUUCCUGCCCCCCUGGCAGUGUCCAAGGCCAGGCUGGAUGGGGCCUGGCUCAACCUGGGAUAGUGGAAGGUGGGGGUGAAAUGAGAUGACCCUUAAAAUCCUUUCCAACCCAAACCAUUCCAUGGUCUUUGGCUGGUGCUGGGAGAGCACAAAUCCCAGCAAAUUCCCACUGCAUUUUGCUUUUCCUGUGUUAACUUGCCCUCUUGGUGUAUAAAUCCAGCAGAGACGCUUUUCCUUUUUCCCUUCUUUCCAUCCCUCUCACAAACAGGAUCCCAAAUAUCCCCAACCUCUGCUGGGUGGAUCAAAUUCAAGGUGCAGCUUUGAAACCCCCCCCAAAUUGUGUUCCUGGAAUUCCUGGCACAACCACCAGGCCCCUUUUUUUUUUUUUGCAGGCAAAAACGACUUUGGGAGGUCGUGGCUCUUCCCGAGUUUCCCAGCAGGGUUUCUGAAGGAUUGUGAAUCCAAGAGCAGGAGUGUUCCCAGGGAAUGAAAGUUUAUGUGGGCAUAACCAACCUGUAAUUAACUCAGGGUUUGAUUUGCCCCUUAAUGAGUCCACCCAGCAGCUUUUCAGGAAAAAUCCCUGUGUGGUUUUUGGCUUCCCUUGGAAGCCUUGGGAAGAGAAACUUGGGGAGGUCAGGGUUUAGAGUGAGAGCCCCAGUGCUUGGCAAGCCCUGGGCGAGGCUGGCGUGAGUUUUGGGAUGCCUUGUGAGGUCAGGAGCAGGAGAAGAUGGUUCCAGCUUGGGAAGCAAGUGUGAAAACAGGGGGGGAUGGGAUUUCUGGUGGCUUCCAAGGGACAGAAUUUAGGGCUCUGUGUCCUCUCCACGCUCAGUUUUCCCUAUUUUCCCUAUAUUUUGAAUUUUUUUUUUCCUUUCUCCCGGGUUUCUGGUGGCCUCCAUGGGUCACAUUUUAGGGCUCCAUGUCCUCUCUGAGUUAAUUUUCUUUUAGGUUCCCAUUUUUUCAAUUUUUUGAAGUUUUUUUUUUUCAUUUCUCCAGGAUUUCUGGUGGCCUCUGUGGGCCAAAUUUUAGGAAUCUCUUUCUGUGUCCUCUGAGCUCAUUUUCUUUUACCUCCUACCCCCAUUUCCCAUAUAUUUUGAUUUUUUUUUUCCUUUCUCCUGGAUUUUUAUUGGGCUCCUACCCUCAUUUCCCAUAUAUUUUGAUUUUUUUUUCCUUUCUCCUGGAUUUUUAUUGGCCUCCAAGAGUCACAUUUUAAGGAUCUGUUUGUGUCCCCUCUGAGCUCAUUUUCUUUCAGAUUUUUCUCCCCAUUUUCUGUGGUGUUUUUUUUUUUCUUUUUCCUUGCUUUCUGCUCAUCCUCAUUGUAUUUCCCACCCCAUGGCUUUGCUCCCCACCUCUCUUUCUCUCUUGCCAUCUGCUGCAAGGGUGAUUUCAUCUUCCAAGCACCUGGAAUUUGAUCCAUGUUUAUUUUGGAGCCCUCCCAUCCCUUCUGUUCCCUGGAUUGCUCUCCCAGCAGUGCUUCCAAUGAGCAGGUGGUUGAGGGAUUUUUCCUGUAUUUAUCCAUAAAAUUCCUUUAUUGUGCUGUUGGAAGGAAACCAG
rnacentral:lncRNA from 12 species